AUUUAGCAUAGCACCUCAGAAAAGAAAAGUAUGUCUUCACUCCGUUCUGCUCUUGAUAGGCUUUGAGUGCAUGGCAUGCAGAUUGUCUUCUGUGGUCUUUCUGGUAUUAAAGGGAACUCUUUCUGAAGGCAAUUUUUACUCUGUUCUGAACUCUGGAGGCUUCUAAGCUGAAGUAUCAUGAUGAUUCAAAGAAAGCAAAUAGACAUCUCUGCUCUUUGAGCAUAACUAUUAGGGAACAAUUUCAGCUUGCCUAUGUACGUUCUGUUUUGCUAUCUAAAUCCUUAAACAGGAGGGUUAUUACAGAUAGAAGAGUUAGCCAAGUUUUUAUGACCAAGGGAGAGGAUCAGAGCUAGAAGUCUUGCCUUGGCCCUCACUUACCCUAAGACUUACGCAGAAUCAAGUAGUUAAAGAUAAAAAUCCUUGAGACAGAAGACAUUCAGCCCACGGGUCAGAGCUGUGGUGAUUAUUCCAAAUCUCCUUUCCAGAUCUCUGCUGGCCAUUUAAGCAGAGGUCUUUGCUCAUUCUGCGACGUAAGGAAGAGAUGGAAAAUCUGGGAGCAGGAUUAUGGACAUAAAUCACUGCUGUGAAUAAUCACUGGCUACAGUGUCUGACCAUUUAUCGUGCAGCCUCACCUGGUUCUGUCAGCUAAAAAUAGAAACCUCUGAUAAUAUGAAGAUAUUUCUCAGAAAGGUGAAAAAGACAGUGAAGUUAACCCUCCUGGUGAUGUACUCCUCUUCAGACACAUGCCCUGUGUUAUUCUUGGCAAAUGCUGGUGGCCAAUCCAGGCUACCAGAAGCCUCCUGCUACAGAGCCAGCCACAGAAGCUGCAAAGCUCGAUCCAGCAGUGAAAGCAACCAAAAUGUGGUUGGAGCCUGUUACUGCUGUGACAAUCUUCAUACUGGUGGUAGGAGUGGCAGUGUGGGCAACCCAUUAGCCAUGCAGACACAGCAAACUCGGUCAUUCUGCAGAUUAAUAAUGGGAACAAAAGGUCCUCAUAACACCCUUAUAAAGCACAGGAGUUUUUGCACUGGUGAACUCCGAAUACCUACAGCAUCAAGGGCAUUGAAGCAAACCAUGAGCUCACAUCCAGGGAGAUGUUUGAGGCAAGCUCCAUUUUGUCAAAAUCCUGAUAAAUAGUUCUACAGCUACUGUGGUAAAAGGAACUAGAAGGCUCAGCAUCCCUCAGAAGGCCAUAUCUUUCCUUUCUGCAAUUAAAAUUGCUGCAGCAGACAGUAAUGGA